rnacentral:misc_RNA from 1 species
AACUGAUACUACCUGCGGGAACCUGCGGAAGGAUCAUUACCGAGUUAUCAACUCCCAAACCCCUGUGAACAUACCCGAACGUUGCCUCGGCGGGACCGCCCCGGCGCCCCUAGCGGCCCGGAACCAGGCGCCCGCCGGAGGACCCAAACUCUUGCUUUAAACAGUGGCAUACUCUCUGAGUCUCACAAACAAAAAAUAAAUCAAAACUUUCAGCAAUGGAUCUCUAGAUCGGAAGAGCAC